UGGGGGAUAUUGCACAAUGGGCGAAAGCCUGAUGCAGCGACGCCGCGUGGGGGAUGAAGGCCUUCGGGUUGUAAACUUCUUUUGCCCUGAACAAGGCAUGCUAAUGGGUGUGUUGAGUGUAGGGGUUGAUUAGCGCCGGCUAACUACGUGCCAGCAGCCGCGGUAAUACGUAGGGCGCGAGCGUUGCCCGGAAUUAUUGGGCGUAAAGGGCUGGUAGGUGGCUGGUUGCGUCUGUCGUGAAAGCUCAUGGCUUAACUGUGGGUUUGCGGUGGGUACGGGCUGGCUUGAGUGCAGGGAGGGAGGCUAGAAUUCCUGGUGUUGCGGUGGAAUGCGCAGAUAUCAGGAGGCAUACCGGUGGCGAAGGCGGGUCUCUGGGCUGUUACUGGCACUGAGGAGCGAAAGCAUGGGGAGCGAACAGG
rnacentral:rRNA from 1 species